GCGGGGGUUGCCGAGCUGGUCAAAGGCGCAAGGUUGAGGGCCUUGUCCCGUAGGGGUCCGCGGGUUCAAAUCCCGUCCCCCGCACCA
rnacentral:tRNA from 1 species